UCCUACGGGAGGCAGCAGUGGGGAAUAUUGGACAAUGGGGGGAACCCUGAUCCAGCCAUGCCGCGUGUGUGAAGAAGGCCUUAUGGUUGUAAAGCACUUUAAGCGAGGAGGAGGCGCUCUAGGCUAAUACCCUAGAAGCGUGGACGUUACUCGCAGAAUAAGCACCGGCUAACUCUGUGCCAGCAGCCGCGGUAAUACAGAGGGUGCGAGCGUUAAUCGGAUUUACUGGGCGUAAAGCGUGCGUAGGCGGUCAUUUAAGUCAAAUGUGAAAUCCCCGAGCUUAACUGGGGAAUUGCAUUCGAUACUGGAUGGCUAGAGUAUGGGAGAGGAUGGUAGAAUUCCAGGUGUAGCGGUGAAAUGCGUAGAGAUCUGGAGGAAUACCGAUGGCGAAGGCAGCCAUCUGGCCUAAUACUGACGCUGAGGUACGAAAGCAUGGGGAGCAAACAGGAUUAGAUACCCUGGUAGUCCAUGCCGUAAACGAUGUCUACUAGCCGUUGGGGCCUUUGAGGCUUUAGUGGCGCAGCUAACGCGAUAAGUAGACCGCCUGGGGAGUACGGUCGCAAGACUAAAACUCAAAUGAAUUGACGG
rnacentral:rRNA from 1 species